rnacentral:rRNA from 1 species
GACGAACGCUGGCGGCGUGCCUAAUACAUGCAAGUCGAACGCAGUGGGGACGGGGGAGUAACACGUGGGUAACCUCCCAUCAGAGGGGAUAACACUUGGAAAAAGGUGCUAAACCGAUACUGAUGGAUGGACUCGCGGGGCAUUAGCUAGUUGGUGGGGUAACGGCUCACCAAGGCCACGAUGCCUAGCCGGCCUGAGAGGGUGAGCGGCCACACUGGGACUGAGACACGGCCCAGCCGCGUACGGGAGGCAGCAGUAGGGAAUCUUCGGCAAUGGACGAAAGUCUGACCUAGCAACGCCGCGUGAGUGAAGAAGGUUUUCGGAUCGUAAAACACUGUUGUUAGAGAAGCGGUAUCUAACCAGAAAGCCACGGCUAACGACGUGCCAGCAGCCGCGGUAAUUC